GAUGAACGCUAGCGGCAGGCUUAAUACAUGCAAGUCGUGGGGCAGCAGGUUCCGAGCAAUCGGAAUGCUGGCGACCGGCAAACGGGUGCGUAACACGUACGCAAUCUACCCAUUACAGGGGAAUAGCCCAGGGAAACUUGGAUUAAUACCCCAUAUUAUAUAGGAUUGGCAUCAGUCUUAUAUCAAAGCUUCGGCGGUAAUGGAUGAGCGUGCGGUUGAUUAGAUAGUUGGCGGGGUAACGGCCCACCAAGUCUACGAUCAAUAGCUGAUGUGAGAGCAUGAUCAGCCACACGGGCACUGAGACACGGGCCCGACUCCUACGGGUGGCUG
rnacentral:rRNA from 1 species